rnacentral:rRNA from 1 species
GCGUUCAUACCAGCACUAAUACACCGGAUCCCAUCAAAACUCUGAAGUUAAGCGUGAUUGUCCGAGAGUAGUACUAGGAUGACCGUAUCACGCCUGGGGGGCUCCCCCACCGGAUCCCAUCAGAACUCGUGUUGCACCCCUUUUUGCGAAGUUAAGCAUGCUUGGGCGAGAAUAAUACUGGGAUGGGUGGCCCCCUGGGAAGUCCUCGUGUUGCACCCC